UCGAAUACACGCAGCGUCGUGGAGGAGCUGCGGUCCGAAUUCGCUGCACUGUUGCAUCUGCCUCAGGGAGGGUCUGAAACUGGUCAGCUUUCGUCUGGUACGACGGCGGAUCGUUCACACCACGAUAAACCAUCAUGAGAGACACGUCAACCCUCAGCAGCUGCAAACCCUGAUAAGUUCAACGGCGAGGAUCCUUGGACCAGCUAUUUGGCACAGUUUGAAGUGUUGGCCGACGCAAAUGGAUGGUCGGAAGAACAGAGAGCAUGCCACCUUGUCUCUGCGCUACGAGGACCUGCGCUGGCGGUUCUUCAGACAUUGUCGCCGUCAGAGAGACACAGCUUGAGGCGCUUGACAGAGGCUCUUGAACAUAGUUUCGGUGAACGUCAUCAGCGAGGGCUAUUCCAUGCCCAGUUGAGAAGCCGAGUACAACUUCCAAAUGAGUCGCUCACCGAGCUGGCUUAUGAUAUUGAGAGAAAGGUUCGUGUGGUUUUUGCCGACUGCGCCCAGGAUGUCCUGGACACCGUCGCUGUUGGCUACUUUCUUGACGCGAUAUCCGAUGCUGACGUCCAGCAGGCCGUCCGGCUGGCGGACCCCUUGAGCCUCCGAUUGGCCGUUACUCGUGCCCUUGAAGUACACGCGGCCAAACAGGCAUCCAGGGCCGCACUGAUCCACCGAAUGCGCCUCGAUAUGGCUUUACAGGUCAGUGACAAGUUGACUCUCCAACCUGCUGCCACUGUGGUGCUCUUGAGGAUCUGGAACACAUCCUUCUUCAUUGCCCCCACUACCAACCUUCCCGAACCACACUCUCAGAGUCUCUUCGUGAGCUGGACUCUCGCCCCUUCUCCCUAUCGAAAUUGCUUGGUUCCUGGCCCAAUCCAGCCAAGCAACGAUCUGCGCUCAAAGCUCUUUUGACAUUUUUGGACACCAUCGGACUUCGUUCGUUAUUGUGAAGGGGCUCGUUAUUUUAUUCCCCACAUCCCCAGCAGCAAUGGGGUAGAGAACCUCCCCACUCUCCAAAGUCAAAAUGAAGUUGUUGUUUGACAAUGAAGACUUACUCUACAAUGCACCCAUGCCACCACUGAGCUUUCCACGAGCCUCGACGUCCCACUGUAGAAGUUUUUAUUAACUUUUCGUUCUCUAAUUACAACUCCUCGUAAUGAUACACCUGACCAAGAUGACGCAGCAUUGUCCACGGUAUCGGAUACCAUAAUUGUGCAUAGUUCGGCGUCCCUGGAGAUGACAAAGAACGUACAAAACAGCAACAGCAGCCAACACGCACUAUUAGAAAAGCGUUACCUCCUGGUGAAUUCCACCAUGACGUGCUGACUGGUCUGACCGAAGCAACGGAAGGAUCUCUGGAAAUACUGCACGGAUUUCGUACGGGCUAUGACACGUCAAGCAUAAAGACAACUGCCUGGAACAUUGGGGGCAUGAGCCCGGAAUCUUGUGCUAGGCGAAUACUAAGGAUGCUGAUGUCAGAUCGAAUGGCGGGAGAAUUUUCGUGGCAAGGAAAAAAAGGGAAGCACUCAUUCUGCUGAACGUUUCCCGAUGCAUUAUCGCUGCUGUUAAGUCUACACGGAAAUGCAGCGACUAUACCAUUGAAAGCGCGAUAAAAGACUGGCUCCGCCGUGCA